GACGAACGCGGGCGGCGUGCCUAAUACAUGCAAGUCGAACGCACGAAGUUGAAGAGCUUGCUCUUUAACCAAGUGAGUGGCGGACGGGUGAGUAACACGUGGGUAACCUGCCCAUGAGAGGGGGAUAACAUUCGGAAACGGAUGCUAAUACCGCAUAGUUUCAGGGAUCGCAUGAUUCUUGAAGGAAAGGUGGCUCCGGCUACCACUAAUGGAUGGACCCGCGGCGUAUUAGCUAGUUGGUGAGGUAAUGGCUCACCAAGGCAAUGAUACGUAGCCGACCUGAGAGGGUGAUCGGCCACACUGGGACUGAGACACGGCCCAGACUCCUACGGGAGGCAGCAGUAGGGAAUCUUCCGCAAUGGACGAAAGUCUGACGGAGCAACGCCGCGUGAGUGAAGAAGGUUUUCGGAUCGUAAAACUCUGUUGUUAAAGAAGAACAAGGAUGAGAGUAACUGCUCAUCCCCUGACGGUAUUUAACCAGAAAGCCACGGCUAACUACGUGCCAGCAGCCGCGGUAAUACGUAGGUGGCAAGCGUUGUCCGGAUUUAUUGGGCGUAAAGCGAGCGCAGGCGGUUCUUUAAGUCUGAUGUGAAAGCCCCCGGCUCAACCGGGGAGGGUCAUUGGAAACUGGAGAACUUGAGUGCAGAAGAGGAGAGUGGAAUUCCACGUGUAGCGGUGAAAUGCGUAGAUAUGUGGAGGAACACCAGUGGCGAAGGCGACUCUCUGGUCUGUAACUGACGCUGAGGCUCGAAAGCGUGGGGAGCAAACAGG
rnacentral:rRNA from 1 species